rnacentral:rRNA from 1 species
UACGGAGGGUGCAAGCGUUAUCCGGAUUCACUGGGUUUAAAGGGAGCGUAGGCGGUCUUAUAAGUCAGUGGUGAAAUCUCGUUGCUUAACAACGAACGUGCCAUUGAUACUGUAGGACUUGAGUACAGAUGCCGUUGGCGGAAUGUGUCAUGUAGCGGUGAAAUGCAUAGAUAUGACACAGAACACCGAUUGCGAAGGCAGCUGACGAAACUGUAACUGACGCUGAGGCUCGAAAGCGUGGGGAUCAAACAGG